rnacentral:rRNA from 1 species
UACAGAGGGUGCGAGCGUUGUUCGGAAUUACUGGGCGUAAAGCGCGUGCAGGCGGCCUUUUAAGUCUGACGGUGAGAUGCCGGGGCUCAACCCCGUGCCCGCCGGAGAUACUGGGAGGCUGGAGACAUGUAGAGGCAAGCGGAAUUCCGGGUGUAGCGGUGGAAUGCGUAGAGAUCCGGAAGAACACCGGAGGCGAAGGCGGCUUGCUGGGCAUGAUCUGACGCUGAGGCGCGAAAGCGUGGGGAGCGAACAGG